GAGGGUAAAUUUUAAGAGAAAAUUCUCUCCGUGUAUUAUAGAUAAUUGUUUUUUCAAGAAACACAUUUUCAUAGAGAAGUUUAGUAAGAACUUAAAUUAUGUUUGUGAAAGUCAUGUAAUUAAUAAUUAAAGGGAUCCUAAGGUCGUCUGUUUUAUCAACAUUUUUUAAUUAAAUUAAUUUUUUAAUUGGUUUGGCUUUAUAGAAUCGCAAAACUCUUUUACAGAAUUCCGAUUCUUCACUUCCCGAUAAAGUUAUCCGGAGGAUAAAUCUCAAGUUUAACCAAUCACGUAUACAUGGAUCUGGUAGUUUAUCUCCUGGAUAAUUUUAACUGCAAGAUAACUCGACAUGAAGAAAUCGGACAUUAAAGUACGAACCAAAAUCUAGGAGAAUACGGUCGAUUUAAUAUCAAAAACGAAAACAAAUUUCAUUUUUGGUACGUGGAACUAUCACUUGACGACAAUAUUUUCUUAUUUUCGGUAUAAAAUCCAAUUCGUAUAAUGAUAUUAUUAUGUAUACUUUAAUUCUGGAAAAGAAUUUUCGAAUCUAUAAAAGAAAUACAUACGAAAUCUUGUUAAUCUUAUGAAUAAAUGGCUCUACAUUAUCGACUCCAAUCAACUUUGACGGGCACUUUAGGAUUCCCUUAAGUUAAAAUUUUUUUAAUAUAUUGAUAUGUAUAUACAUUAAAUUAAUUUAAAGAAUGUUUAAUAUUAUACUAAUUUAAUGAAUAAAAUUUUGUUAAUUUUAUUAAUUUUAUUAUUUUCUAUAAUUUUGUCCUCUUUUAUAAGUUGAAAAUUUUGUACACUAGCAAUUGAUCAAAAAGGUAAGCUUAGCAGUACAAUAAUAAGUUAACGAGUAAUUAUAUUCUCAUGGAAAUAAUAUAAAUUAUUUGUGAAUAUAAUUUUAAUUUAAAAAAUUGGCAUAAUAAAUACAUUCAACAGACUCAACAGCUAAAUAGUAAUCAAACAUAAUUGGCUAUAAUUUUUAAUACCAUCAAAUCAACAUUAUUUAGCGGAAAAUCUAGUAACGUUGCUCAACUGUUGCUCAACUGAGCCUGCUGACUGCAGUUAAUGUUAUUCAAGGAAAAUAAUAGAAAAAUAUGCUUUGUUUAUAAUUCAGUGAAUAUAACUGCUGUACAAUUGAAAAAAUGUUCGCUGAACGCACUUGAUCAGUGAGAGAAUUCUCUACAUGUUUAGUGAGCAAAAAUACCAUUUUACUAAGUAAAAUUUUAAUACGUUUAGUGAUCAUAAUGUGUUAUAAAGACCCGAAGAAUAUAAGAUGAAAAAUAUUUGGACUAACAAUAAAUUAUAAGAGUAAAAAAUUUUGUUACAUAUAUUUUUGAUUUUUUGUGUGACACUAUAUACAUAUUGAUACUUUUGUAAUACUGAUGGACAAAAUCCGACAAAAAGCGCUAAUUUUUCAUUCUUUAGAAAUAAAAAUAAUUUUGAGAAUAUUUGUUGGUAAUGUUCUAUAUCCUCUUACAGGUCACGAAAAUUAAAUACCCUCUAAAUGUCAAUCAGUAUAUUAUCACUCAUUUGCAGUGCUAUAUUCAUAACUAUGACAAUUAAUGAGUAUUUCACUUUUAGUGAUUUCGAUUUCACUAUUAGUGUAUUAUCACUAAAAGAUCAGUAUAUUUUUCUAAUUGAUGAGUUAUAAAUCUAAUUACUGGAAAUCAAUAUAUUUUUACUGACUUUAUUAAUUUUUUAUUAAUUAUACUUUAAAAAGUAAUAGCAAUGUUUUUGUUAAUAAAUUUCUAUUCUGAAGGCCAAACUUCUUACUACUCAUUUAAAGAUCAAUUAAUUCUCGCAUUGUAACAAAUGUAAGAGCUUUUUAAGACUUUUUCAAAUAUAAAGAAUAAGUAUUUUAUAUUUCUAAUUUUCUAUAUAACAGUAAAUAGUAUAACAUUAUUUUUCAUUGGUAUAAUUUACUUUUUUUAAACAUAGUAAAUAAUACUUAAUAAAAAAUAGAAAUCAAAUAAUAAAACUUAUUAAAAAUGCAUGGAAUUAAAAAGCAAAUAAUGAGCAAUGAGAAAUCCGUGCUGUAAACCUUAUGCAAAAAAAGGAAUCCUUUUUUUUUAUCUAAAAAUAAUCAAUGUUUAUUAAUUAUACGUUUCAAUUUACAUUAUCUUAACUAUACUUCUCGUAAUCGCAAUGUCACAAAGUAGAAAGUUUAUUGUUUGUUGCCCAUCCCACAAUCAGUAGUCUUAACAGUUCCCCACAAUUAAUACAACACCCCACAAACAAUACAAAAAAUAGCAUAUUUAACAUUUCUACAAUACAGUAAUACGAGUCACACACAAAUGUAAUCAUUCUAUAAAAUUAAAUAAAUUAAUUAGAAAUGUUGUCAGAGUGAUAAAAAGAAUUAUAUUUUCUAAAAUCUAAAUAAUAAAGGAAAGGUUAAAUAAUCAAUCUACUUACACAUAAUCAAUUUAUAUUUGCAUCGCUUGUCAUGUUAUUUUUAAUUUAUACUUGUGUACACAGAGAAUCAAUAAAAAUUUAGUACAUAUAAAAUAAUUUAAAUAGUAAUAUUAAAGUAUUUGUUCAUUUAGUUAAAAUUAAAAACGCAAGGUCAUAGUUAUAGAUUUUAUCAGAAAUAAUGACAACAAAGUACCGGGACAGAAAUGAUUCUAGAUUACAAUUAUUUACUGCACUUAUAACGUUAAAUACGCUUCUCAGUAGCAAGAUAAAAAAAGAUUAGAUUAACAAAACCAAGUAAUCGAAAACAUUAUACCUUACUGAAAUAAAAUUGUCGUUUAAUAGUGAAAUAGCAUGACCUACGUAAGCUGCUGGUAUUAUAUCAACACGCGAGAUCGUUUAUUAACUGUUAGUUACUUGCCAGAUAUAACGUUCAUUAAAGAUAAAACGCAAGAUAAGUAUUCAAGUUAAAGGUUUUUAGUACUUACAAACGUUGAGGAGACGAAACACAUCUUUUUCCGCAUUUUAAAACAAUUUGGUCACAUUCGCAAUUGUAAUAGGUGAUUUUAAGUUAUCAAAGACUUAUUUUUUAUAUAAUUUAUCGUUUCAAUAAAAUAUAAUAUUUCUGCUCAUAAUAUUUCAAAAUUAAACGCAAGUUUAUUUACAAUAUGUUAAUUUAGCAUAAAUAUGUACUUAUUGUUCAUAGGUUGAUAGUAAUCAAAAAAAUGUCGAGUAUAAAAAAUUUGAAGCAAGUGUUUAUGCCCAUCAUAUGGCUCAACUGUAUAUUUUGCAUGGGAGUAUUUGAAAUACCAAUAAAUCGCCCACGAUUUUUUCUGAGUGCUUUUUAUGUUAUCAUUAUGCUGAUAGGAUAUUUCAUUUUCUUUUACAAAGGAAUUUUCAUCUUUCCGAAUUUUUUUUAUGACUUUUCGACGCUCGAUUUGAUUGUCAUGGCAAUUAACAUCUUAGUUGCAGUCUUGGCUAUAAUUUUGUUUUGGAGGAAAUCCCGGUGUAUCAAUAGUAUAAUUAAGAGACACAGUAUAGUGGACAGUACUUUGGAGGUAUUGGGAAUAAAAAAACAGUACGAGAAAACCUAUCACAAUAUUUUGUUUCAUACGGCUAUCUGGAUAGUAAGCGUAAUAAUAAUGUUGAUUACAUAUACGCUAUGGGGAUAUUUCACUAAUGAAUACUGGUUUUGUCUUUACCGAAGCAUAUGCUAUUGUUUUCCGGUUAUAAUAAAUUCUGUAGUAGAUCUCACUUUUAUUUCAUUUGUCAGGCAAGUUAUAUAAUCCUUAAAAAAUGAUACUAAAGUAAUAUAUCGUAAGGAGCUUGUCCAAAGAGAAUUAAAAUUGUUAAAAUUUCUUUAAAUCCUAAAAUAUUUAUUAUAAUAAUGUUUCUUUAAAAAUUGUUCAUAAUGGACAAGUAAACGUAUAGUAUAAUAUGCCUAUGUUUAUGUACUCAAAUAUUGAUUAAGUUUGAAAUGCGACAGAUGUGUUCGUCGAGAAUUUCAGAAGACAAAUACUUUAAUUAAAAAUAUAGUACUCCAUGUAAAUAAAUUAAGUGACAAAAUUCUUAAUCAGCACUAUGAUACAUCUGUUGCAUUUGUAAUGGCAGACAAAAACUACAAAAGCAAGAUAAUGCAUCUCAUUCAGACUUUAAGACAUGUGCAUUUGGAAAUUACAAAAAUAGCAAGACAUAUUAAUUGUGUUUAUUCUGUGCAACUUUUACUAGAAUUGGUAGUCCAUUUUACGAUGGUAACAUUGAGUGUUUAUUAUCUAUAUGGUAUAAUUUUUGGCAACUUACGCGUAAUUGUCCAUAACGAAAAUAUUGUUGGAACGGUACUAUGGGCAAGCAUUUAUUUGAUUAAAAUUAUAUUAGUAAAUUGGCUUUGCACAAGUGUAUCAACCGAGGCAUAUAAAACCGGUGGAAUUAUACAAUCUUUUGAUAGAUCUGUUUUUGAUGAUAAUUUAAAAGAAGAGAUUCAUCAGUUUACACAACAAAUAAUUCUUCAAUCAUUAAAUUUCACUGCUUGUGGUUUCUUUUCAAUUGAUAAUUCUCUCACUGGCAAGUUUUUUGUGACAGUUACAACGUACAUUGUUAUUCUAAUACAAAUGAAUGUAUCUGUGUUAAACACAUAAGAUAAAAAAUUAAACAUGUUAUAGAUAAAGGCUUUUUUUAUUAAUAUUAUAGAUAACUGUUUUUUCAAAAAACAAGUUUUUACAGAGAAGUUUAGUAAGAAUGUACUUAUUUAAAUUAUUCCGAUAAAUGUCAUGUAAUUAAUAUUUAAAUU